rnacentral:rRNA from 1 species
AUUGAACGCUGGCGGCAGGCCUAACACAUGCAAGUCGAGCGGAUGAAGGGAGCUUGCUCCUGGAUUCCGCGGCGGACGGGUGAGUAAUGCCUAGGAAUCUGCCUGGUCGUGGGGGAUAACGUCCGGAAACGGGCGCUAAUACCGCAUCCGUCCUGAGGGUGAAAGUGGGGGAUCUUCGGACCUCACGCUAUCAGAUGAGCCUAGGUCGGAUUAGCUAGUUGGUGGGGUAAAGGCCUACCAAGGCGACGAUCCGUAACUGGUCUGAGAGGAUGAUCAGUCACACUGGAACUGAGACACGGUCCAGACUCCUACGGGAGGCAGCAGUGGGGAAUAUUGGACAAUGGGCGAAAGCCUGAUCCAGCCAUGCCGCGUGUGUGAAGAAGGUCUUCGGAUUGUAAAGCACUUUAAGUUGGGAGGAAGGGCAGUAAGUUAAUACCUUGAUGUUUUGACGUUACCAACAGAAUAAGCACCGGCUAACUUCGUG